ACUACUUUAGUAUAAUUAGUACACCUGCCUUCCAAGCAGAAAGUUUGGAAAUUCAAAAGUAGUA
rnacentral:tRNA from 1 species